rnacentral:rRNA from 1 species
GACAGAGGGUGCAAACGUUGUUCGGAAUUACUGGGCGUAAAGCGUGUGUAGGCUGCUCUGCAAGUCGGAUGUGAAAGCCCUGGGCUCAACUCAGGAAUUGCAUUCGAAACUGGUAGGCUCGAGUACGGGAGAGGGGGGUGGAAUUCCUGGUGUAGGGGUGAAAUUCGUUGAUAUCAGGAGGAACACCGGCGGCGAAGGCGGCCCCCUGGCCCGCAACUGACGCUCAUGUUCGAAAGCGUGGGGAGCAAACAGG